GACGAACGCUGGCGGCGUGCUUAACACAUGCAAGUCGAACGGAAAGGCCCUGCUUUUGUGGGGUGCUCGAGUGGCGAACGGGUGAGUAACACGUGAGUAACCUGCCCUUGACUUUGGGAUAACUUCAGGAAACUGGGGCUAAUACCGGAUAGGAGCUCCUGCUGCAUGGUGGGGGUUGGAAAGUUUCGGCGGUUGGGGAUGGACUCGCGGCUUAUCAGCUUGUUGGUGGGGUAGUGGCUUACCAAGGCUUUGACGGGUAGCCGGCCUGAGAGGGUGACCGGCCACAUUGGGACUGAGAUACGGCCCAGACUCCUACGGGAGACAGCAGUGGGGAAUAUUGCACAAUGGGCGGAAGCCUGAUGCAGCAACGCCGCGUGCGGGAUGACGGCCUUCGGGUUGUAAACCGCUUUCGCCUGUGACGAAGCGUGAGUGACGGUAAUGGGUAAAGAAGCACCGGCUAACUACGU
rnacentral:rRNA from 1 species